rnacentral:rRNA from 1 species
CAGGAUGAACGCUAGCUACAGGCUUAACACAUGCAAGUCGAGGGGCAGCAUUUCAGUUUGCUUGCAAACUGGAGAUGGCGACCGGCGCACGGGUGAGUAACACGUAUCCAACCUGCCGAUAACUCGGGGAUAGCCUUUCGAAAGAAAGAUUAAUACCCGAUGGCAUAAUUAGACCGCAUGGUCUUAUUAUUAAAGAAUUUCGGUUAUCGAUGGGGAUGCGUUCCAUUAGGCAGUUGGUGAGGUAACGGCUCACCAAACCUUCGAUGGAUAGGGGUUCUGAGAGGAAGGUCCCCACAUUGGAACUGAGACACGGUCCAAACUCCUACGGGAGGCAGCAGUGAGGAAUAUUGGUCAAUGGGCGCAGGCCUGAACCAGCCAAGUAGCGUGAAGGAUGACUGCCCUAUGGGUUGUAAACUUCUUUUAUAUGGGAAUAAAGUUUUCCACGUGUGGAAUUUUGUAUGUACCAUAUGAAUAAGGAUCGGCUAACUCCGUGCCAGCAGCCGCGGUAAUACGGAGGAUCCGAGCGUUAUCCGGAUUUAUUGGGUUUAAAGGGAGCGUAGGUGGACAGUUAAGUCAGUUGUGAAAGUUUGCGGCUCAACCGUAAAAUUGCAGUUGAUACUGGCUGUCUUGAGUACAGUAGAGGUGGGCGGAAUUCGUGGUGUAGCGGUGAAAUGCUUAGAUAUCACGAAGAACUCCGAUUGCGAAGGCAGCUCACUGGACUGCAACUGACACUGAUGCUCGAAAGUGUGGGUAUCAAACAGGAUUAGAUACCCUGGUAGUCCACACAGUAAACGAUGAAUACUCGCUGUUUGCGAUAUACAGUAAGCGGCCAAGCGAAAGCAUUAAGUAUUCCACCUGGGGAGUACGCCGGCAACGGUGAAACUCAAAGGAAUUGACGGGGGCCCGCACAAGCGGAGGAACAUGUGGUUUAAUUCGAUGAUACGCGAGGAACCUUACCCGGGCUUAAAUUGCAUUUGAAUAUAUUGGAAACAGUAUAGCCGUAAGGCAAAUGUGAAGGUGCUGCAUGGUUGUCGUCAGUUCGUGCCGUGAGGUGUCGGCUUAAGUGCCAUAACGAGCGCAACCCUUAUCUUUAGUUACUAACAGGUCAUGCUGAGGACUCUAGAGAGACUGCCGUCGUAAGAUGUGAGGAAGGUGGGGAUGACGUCAAAUCAGCACGGCCCUUACGUCCGGGGCUACACACGUGUUACAAUGGGGGGUACAGAAGGCAGCUACCUGGUGACAGGAUGCUAAUCCCAAAAGCCUCUCUCAGUUCGGAUCGAAGUCUGCAACCCGACUUCGUGAAGCUGGAUUCGCUAGUAAUCGCGCAUCAGCCAUGGCGCGGUGAAUACGUUCCCGGGCCUUGUACACACCGCCCGUCAAGCCAUGAAAGCCGGGGGUACCUGAAGUACGUAACCGCAAGGAGCGUCCUAGGGUAAAACUGGU